rnacentral:rRNA from 1 species
UACGGAGGAUCCGAGCGUUAUCCGGAUUUAUUGGGUUUAAAGGGUGCGUAGGCGGGGAUUUAAGUCAGUGGUGAAAGUUUGCAGCUUAACUGUAAAAUUGCCAUUGAAACUGAAUUUCUUGAGUGCAAAUGAGGUAGGCGGAAUGUGUUGUGUAGCGGUGAAAUGCAUAGAUAUAACACAGAACACCGAUUGCGAAGGCAGCUUACUGGGAUGCAACUGACGCUGAGGCACGAAAGCGUGGGGAUCAAACAGG